rnacentral:tRNA from 1 species
GAGCGACUAGGUUAAUUUAAACCCUUGGCCUUCAAAGCCGAAAAUAAUUCUUAUUGUCGCCCG